ensembl:lncRNA
GUGUCAGUGUAACUAUGGAGUGUAAUAACCUGCAAAGUGUUAGUGAAAUAACAGAAUUAAGUUUGGGCUGGCCCAAAUAAAAAUUACCAGCCACAGGCGUUAGUUUCUGCAAACCACCUCCCCGCCCCCCCGCCCCGCCCCGGGCAGUAAUGAGUUGAGGUUAGGACUGAGGAGAAUUGGGGCCAGUUGGAAAGGAGAGAGGGAAGUUAACAGAGAUGCACCUGACAACCCCGGCACUGAUGGAGAAAAGUACCUAGAUGCCCAGACAACCUGGCUUUGGGAAAAGGCACGAUUCCCCAACGGAGCACCCUUGGAAUUCACAGCACCAACCUCGUGUCUGCACGAUUGAUGACAAUGCAGAUAGCGUGGCAGAUUGCAAUCAGCCUUGGCAGGGGAGCUCCUAGCAGGGCUUUGUGGUUUGGAAAAGUGCAGCAAACAAGUAGGGUACAAGGCUCCCCCGAAAACACUCCCUUCUCUGCCCAGGGCGGCCACCACCCCCUACACCCAGGUUCCUCCCACUGCCAGUUCAGCGUUCAUGGUCUCCCUCCUCUAGUGGGAGGAGGUCAGGGAGGCUGAUCCCAGCUGUCUGGCCCCUGGAGAUAUGACCCAUGAACCCUCGAUGUCCUGCUCCUUGACCAUGCCUCAUGCUUAGGUCAAUACCAUUCUUCGUUCAGAUAUUGUUGGCAGAUGUAGAGGGAACUUGAGCCAGCUCAGGAUAUCAGAUGCUUAAAUAAGUCGAGAAGAAGGUCAGCAUUGUGCCAAUCAGCAGAGAAGCUACGACCUGUGCAUUCGGAUGUCAAGGUGUUAUGAUUCAGGUUGGUUUUGUUUACCUUUUCUCGUGAAGGGUUUUGAACCUACACUCAGGGCUGGGCUUAGAGGAGCAGACGUGCAGAGCGGAGCCGCCGUGAUCCCUCCACUCUCCUGGAACCUGGACCCUGACUUCGCUUCUCUUAGUCUGGGCUUCCGAGCGCUCUGUGCUCAAUCGCUCAGCCGUGUCCAACUCUCUGCGACCCUGUGGACUGUAGCCCGCCAGCCUCCUCUGUCUAUGGGAUUUCCCAGGCAAGAAUACUGGAGUGGGCUGCCGUUUCCUCCUCCAGAGGAUCUUCCCGACCCAGGGAUGGAACCCACGUGUCUUGUGUUUCCUGCCUUGGUAGGCAGGUUCUUUACUGCUGAGCCACUGGGGAAGCCCCUCUGCUCCUAAAAGCAGUGAAUCGUUAGGGAUGGGAAACUUUGGAACCUGUCCUGAGCUCUCGUUCUGUCAAACUCCAUGGGGAGGAGCAGGGCGAGGGACACCCUCACCUGUUGAGCGGAGGCUGUGUUCCCUCCCUGCUCGCACCGCAGGGACCAUCUCUUACCUCCCACGAGACUCCUCCAGCCUGACCCUCCCCUGCCAGACAAGAUCACCUGGGUUGGUGCUUUUCUUACACCUUCUGGGUUGUUACCACAAGUGCUCCAAAGCAUUCUCAUCAUUUUUUAAAUUAAAAUCUUAUUUUUAUUAAGGACCAGGUAAAUGAAACAUAGUCAAACAGCAUGAUAACAUUUUUAAAGAAAGGCAGCGACGCCCUGCCCUGCUGAGUGCUGAGAACUGUGCAGCCUUAGAGACGUUUAAGGGUCGAACGAACAGCAUGUGUCUUAUUAGUCAGUGCUGGUCUGCUGGAAGACGGGUCAUGAUUUGGAUCAGGACUUUUUACAUUUGAAUGUGCAUUAAAAAGAAAACACCCAUAGUCCACUCCUGGGCAUAUAUUCAGACAAAACUCCAAUUUGAAAAGACCCAUGCACCCUAGUGCUCAUUGCAGCCCUAUUCACAAUAGGCAAGACAUGCAAAGAACUUAAAUGUCCAUCGAUAGAUGGACAGAUAAAGAAGAUGUAGUAUGUAUGUACAAUGGAAUAUUACUCAGCCAUAAAAAGGAUGGAAUAACUGUAUUUGCAGUGACAUGGAUGCAGCCAGAGAUGAUCAUCCUAAGGGAAAUCAGCCAGACAGAGAAAGACACGUACCAUAUGAUACUGC